rnacentral:rRNA from 1 species
CACCAGCGCCUCGAGUGGUACCCACGAAUAUUGGGCCUAAAGCGUCCGUAGCCGGACUAAUAAGUCCACUGUGAAAUGUUGGGGCUCAACCCUAACGCGUGCAGUGGAUACUGCUAGUCUUGGGAAUGGGGGAGGGUCGGGGUACUUCCAGGGUAGGGGUAAAAUCCGUUGAGCCUGGAAGGACCACCAGUGGCGAAGGCGCCGAUCCAAAACAUGUCCGACGGUGAGGGACGAAAGCUGGGGGA